rnacentral:tRNA from 1 species
GCCCGCAUAGCUCAGUGGAUAAGAGCGGUUGCCUUCUAAGCAACGGGUCGGAGGUUCGAGUCCUCCUGCGGGCG